GAUGAUUUCGAGACGAAAGCUCAGUUUGAAGUGAAUGAAAACAUUGUUUCAUAAUUCCUGUGGAUAUUAGGACUCAAUUUUGCCACUGUUGCUCCGAUUUCACAAAUUCGUGUCGAAAGAAUGAAAGAUUGAUUUCAUAAUCUCUUGAACUUUGAGACGCCAUUUAUCUGUUAGGGCUCAAUUUCAUGCAUUCAAUCAAGCUAUAAAAAAGACAAUCUUUGCUCGAGCUUGAGAGCAGAGUCCACAAAAAGUUUAUGGCCUACCCUUUGCAAGCCUGCUGGGUAAAUCAGUGGAGAGAGGAAGAUUGAAGUAGAGCUUGGUUCGAAAUUUGCAGCAAGUGGUUCUCCCUUUACAAGCCUGAAGAAGGUUGACAUGGAAGGAGAUGCAGAAAAGAAGCAACAGAUGCCACCUGCUAGUGCCAUGACAAGGCUCAUUCUUAUCAUGAUUUCAAGGAAGCUAAUAAAAAUUCCAACACCUAAUCAAGCGUUUUGGGACUGAAGAGUUUGUUGUUGCAGUUUGGAAGAAGAGUUUGUAUGUUGAACGACCUCAUUCAUAUGCCAUAUAAAUUAUUAGAUCUCUCUCUUCUGAAAUUUCUUUCAUAUUGUAUGGUAAUGAUGUUUCUUGUAAAUCAAAAGCUUGUUUGAUCUUUCGAUGUAUUUACCCCAUGUGGAGAUGCUAAAUAAAUACAAAAGUUAUAUUUGAGGUGAGAAGGAGAGUUAUAGGGUGAUAAAGUUGAGGAAUUGGCAGUGGUCUGAGUGUAGGCGUAUUGCCGAACUUAGGUAGCAAACGUGAGUGCUGCCAUAUGUUGAACUUCAGGCAGUAGUAACGAUUGUUGUAAUAAACAGUAUGUUUGAUGGCAGACAUUUUUAGUUGCAUAGGUCAGUUUUUAUUACUUUUAGCAACAGAUAUAGUUGUUGCUAUAUCC